ACUGACCUUCCUGUGUGAUCCUCCCACCAGCUCUACAGCCGGACGCCUAUCAAUAAUAGACAGGAAGUCCCGCCCCGGAAGAGAGGCGCUCGGAAGGGACGGCCAGAAAGUAAGCCUGCGCUGCUGGAAAACAUGCCUCGCUAAGCCAUUACCAACUUGCGACCCCAUGGACUGUAGCCUGCUAGGCUCCUCUGUCCAUGGGAUUCUCCAAGCAAGAAUACUGGAGUGCGUUGCCAUUUCUUCUCCAAUUGACUUUAAUGGUAUAAAAAACUGCCUGCAUCCCCGGUGGGCGGCCCCCUUCCAUCUUCGCAGCCAGCAAUGACUGAGUCUUUUUGACAUCACAUCACUCCUGACACUGACCUUUCUGAUUCCCUCUUCUCCAUUUAAAGAGGAUCAUUGUGAUUACAUCGGACUCACCUGGGUGCUCCAAAAUAACUUUAUUUUCUGGUCAGUUGAUUUACAGCUUCAAUGCCAUCUACAAUCUUAAAUCUCCCUUGCCAUAUAACAUAACAUUUUUAAUUGAAUAAAUUUGAC